GCUGGGCAUGGUGGUGUAUGCCUGUAAUCCCAGCUACUCAGGAGGCUGAGGCAGGAGAAUCACUUGAACCCAGGAGGCGAGGAUUGCAGUGAGCUGAGAUCGUGCCACUGCACUCCAGCCUGGGCAACAGAGCUAGACUCUGUCUCAA
ensembl:misc_RNA Metazoa_SRP Metazoan signal recognition particle RNA